CGGCUCUAGAGAAAAAGAUGG
rnacentral:miRNA from 1 species